UACGAAGGGGGCUAGCGUUGCUCGGAAUUACUGGGCGUAAAGCGCACGUAGGCGGCUCUUUAAGUCAGGGGUGAAAUCCCGCAGCUCAACUGCGGAACUGCCUUUGAUACUGGGUAUCUUGAGUAUGGAAGAGGUAAGUGGAAUUCCGAGUGUAGAGGUGAAAUUCGUAGAUAUUCGGAGGAACACCAGUGGCGAAGGCGGCUUACUGGUCCAUUACUGACGCUGAGGUGCGAAAGCGUGGGGAGCAAACAGG
rnacentral:rRNA from 1 species